rnacentral:misc_RNA from 1 species
GGAUGAAGAACGUAGCGAAAUGCGAUACGUAGUGUGAAUUGCAGAAUUCAGUGAAUCAUCGAAUCUUUGAACGCACAUUGCACCUCUCGGUAUUCCGGGAGGUAUGCCUGUUCGAGCGUCAUAACGUGCCCUCAAGCUCUGCUUGGUGUUGGGUGUUUUGUUCCACCUCUGCGUGUGAACUCGCCUUAAAACAAUUGGCAGCCGGCGUACUGGUUUCGGAGCGCAGCACAUUUUGCGCUUUAGUCCCAUGUACGGCGGCAUCCAAGAAGCCUUCUUUAAUAAUCUUGACCUCGGAUCAGGUAGGGAUACCCGCUGAACUUAAGCAUAUCAAUAAGCGGAGGA